CCCUUAGAUGUUCUGGGCCGCACGCGCGCUACACUGAUGCAUUCAACGAGUUUUUCCUGGUCCGAGAGGAAUGGGUAACCUUUUGAAAGUGCAUCGUGCUAGGGAUAGACUAUUGCAAUUAUUGGUCUUCAACGAGGAAUUCCUAGUAGACGUAGUUCAUCAGACUGCAUCGAUUACGUCCCUGCCCUUUGUACACACCGCCCGUCGCUACUACAGAGUGCCCGUGUCCAAGAAACGGUCGGACCUGUGCGGCCUCUCCGGGCGACCGGAGGGCCGUUACGGGGAAGACCCUUUAUUUGACGCGGGUCGAUGAAGUAAAAGUCGUAACA
rnacentral:rRNA from 1 species